AGCAUUCUUUAGCAACUUUAAAGCAAGGUUUUAAUUGUGUCUGAACUUUUAGAAUGAAAAUGAAGGUUUUCAUCCCGUCCUUUCUGUUCAUUCUUGGCGCAGUCUCGAUUGUAUUUGGCGCUCCCAGGGCCCAUUGUCCUCCUCAUGGAGAGAUGGCGAUAAGUUUCUGUGGACCGUGGUCAGGAUGUCCAUUGGGAUAUUAUUGCCAUGAAAGAGUCCUGUAUCAAAACAUUUGCUGUAGGAUAAAUCUUUAUGGUCAUCGCCUGAACUGAUGGAAUGCUAUCAAUGGCAUAUAUUAUGAUUAUAUCGAAUGCUCUGAGACAGACUUCGAGUAAAGAAUGUCUAAACGUC